rnacentral:rRNA from 1 species
CCGACGGUGAGAGGUGAAAGCUGGGGGCACGAACCGGAUUAGAUACCCGGGUAGUCCCAGCCGUAAACGAUGCUCGCUAGGUGUCAGGCAUGGCGCGACCGUGUCUGGUGCCGCAGGGAAGCCGUGAAGCGAGCCACCUGGGAAGUACGGCCGCAAGGCUGAAACUUAAAGGAAUUGGCGGGGGAGCACAACAACGGGUGGAGCCUGCGGUUUAAUUGGACUCAACGCCGGACAACUCACCGGGGGCGACAGCAAUAUGUAGGCCAAGCUGAAGACUUUGCCUGAAUCGCUGAGAGGAGGUGCAUGGCCGUCGCCAGUUCGUACUGUGAAGCAUCCUGUUAAGUCAGGCAACGAGCGAGACCCGUGCCCACUGUUACC